GUGCUGCCGUGGUGACACCUUUCUUCUUUGGAAUGGCUCCAAAGGGAGGGCAAGACAACUUAAAAAGGCAGGCAGGGACCGGCUACGGAGCCUUCCGCCUGAGACCUGCUGGGCGUCGCCCACGGGGAGCCCGCCACAGUCCUCAACGUCUCUUCUGGGGGGCGCGGGGGAGCCUGGCCACAGACCAGCGUGGGAGCCUGUUCAAAGGCACAUUUAAGACGAGUUAUGUGAAAACUGCCCACAACAACACUUUCUGUUCCCCCUUUUCCCCCUCACAUUGUUAGCAUUUCUCAAAUCAAUGUCUCCACUUCCCUUCCUGUAUUUUAAUCUGACUCCCAGUUGGUGGAAAAGGUUUCAAAACCGACCCCGAGCUGAUAAAUAGCACCGGCUCGAGGGUAAUAAAGGAACAGGGUCGAAGACUGAACUGAAGCCGGGGUUUAAGUAAAUAACUACGCACAAAUCGGCGAUGUGAUAAAGAAAAACUUCAUGGAGAUGUUUCAUGUUUUUGUUUCAAGGUUAUGAUAAAUGGAGGCAACGCACGGGGAGUGAAAGCAUGAUUUUAGGCUUGGAAGGAAACUUUAGAGCUCAUUUCGAUUCACUAAAUAUUUAUGAAACCUUCUUGGUGCUGGGCAGUAUGGUUACAAAAGCACGUCAGAUGAAGUCCCUGUUUUUAAGCCACUCUAAAUAUGUUCCGGAGACAGACGUAACCCGUGCCAGUGCUGGGUCUCUGCUGCGCUCAAAUCCCUGCUCUGCUCUGUCUCACCGGCCUGACCCCUGCAGGCUGCGUGCUCCGGGGGGCCCCAACUGGGCUCUGCCACGAGAGCCUCUGGCAAGAGAUUAGAGGGUGAGAAGGGAGAGGCCAGGAUCUCUCCCCUCUGCCUGCAGGUCUCCAGAAGUGGCCCCGCUUCCCCUGGGGAUCUUGCUCCUGCCGGGACAGACCACUCCCGCAGGGUGACCCAGCUACUAGGCCCAUACUUCCGUGUAUUCCCUUUGGCCUUGCAGCCUAGGGCGGGGGGCGCUUUCUGGGGGGGGGGGGUUCACCUCCAAGUUCUCUCUCAGACCUUGUAUUGCCUCUGCAACCAAUUCUUUGAAUUAAAACACGCGAUUUUAAAUAAUUAGCCUGGCUUCUGGAUUCCUGGUUAGACUCGGAUAUACAAUCCCUUGAUGCUAACAAAGCAGAACAGAUGUUCUUCCAGCAAAAAUGACCACGAGCUGUGGGCAGGGAUGAAGAAAGAAAUGAAUUUUGCUGGAAGUCUGGAGAAAACUUCACGUAGGUAGAAAUCCCUAGCAUGAUGGAACACUGACAAAUGAUAAGGGUUUGGUCCUUGAAACGUGAGCGAAAUCUUAACAGUCGAGGGAGGAGGAAGGAGGGCAUUCCACAGGGGGAACAGCAUAAGCAGAAGCUUGGAAAUAUGCUGCAUGUUUCUGCACAGGGUGUAGUGAAAAAAAGAGGUAGCAAACAGGGUACAGAAAGGCUCCAUUGUGAGGCUCCUGAAAGCCCUUCCAAGGAGUUUGAGAUCACUCGGUAGGGAAGCGGGGCCCUUAACAAGUUUCUAAGCAGCCACAAGUUUGCACUCCGGCGUAAAGCCUGGAGUGAAGGAGGUUAUGACAUGGAGAUCAUCCACAGUAGCUUCUAGAGUCGAACAGAAGGUGAUGACAUCCCAACCAUCGUGACGGCAGUUGAGAAUACGGACAGAAGCGGAUUUGCCAGACGUAUUGACGAAAGAAGGACAGGAUUAGGAAAAGAUGGAUUUGUAGGUCAGGGAGUAGCGAGAGUGUAAGAAAAAUCCCAUGUUCCGUGUCGAAGCACAGAAAUGAACAAUGAUGCGUUAAGCCCAUAGGUUACAGGCAAGGAGUCUGAAUUUUGAGUACGUUGAGUGUUGGGGUGGGGAGUGUGAACAGGGUCUUAGAAAUGUGAGUCUGGUACUCAGGAAGAGGUGAGGGUUAGGGAUUUAUAUCUGCAGCGUAAAUAUUUCUAUUUGGUCGGGGCACGGCGAUGGACGAGGUGGCCACAGGAAGUGAUAACAAGGUAGUGAAGGACUCAACUGAACUCUGAGGGACACCACACGUGAUGGCCAGAAAGGAAAAGAAGAACCAGCAAGGAGGUGGAAAGACACAGAUAGGAACUUAGGCAAGGGAAAUAAUUUGGGUGUUAAGAGAGAAGAAGUUUUAGGAAGUAGGAGGUGGCCGUGAACAAUAUAAGAGCACAGAUAUCAAGCGAGAUCAUGACUGCGACGUCUCUCGGUCAGUGUUGGGAUGGUUAUUUUACAGGUUGACUUGUUGAGUUGUAGGAGGUCAUCUUCUAUUCUUUUACAGUUAAACUGCCCAAGGACUCAGAACUAGGGAACAGUAAAGCUGGACCAGAACUUUGGCUUUUGCUGACCAAUAAGAAUGUUUCCCACCCAAGAGUCCACUCUCCAUGAUAAAAACCGAAGCUUCUCAAGGAGAAGUUCCGAAAGACUUGGCAGUCUACAUCAAAGCCCUAACUCACGUCACUGCAAGAAAUGCAGAUGCUGUUGUUGCUGGUGGUGGUGGUGUUUUGUUUAGUCAUUUUUUAUAUUUAUCCACGGAACCUAAGAGAACUUACUUCUUAAAAAUUGAACCUACUCACCAGAUCAAACAUCCAAACAAAUACAAAAAUCAACCUCUAAUUGAGGCAUUUGAACUUAAACGAUCCUUUCCGUCAAGUUCGGGUGUCAGCACGUGCCCGUACAAUCUCUUUGGACAUUGUACCUUUCCUUCGUGGGAAAGACACAGCUAUCUUGAGAACCAGCAGCGAAUACUCGAAUGUUUUCCUUUCCCCGAUUGAAACUUGCUAGAGGGAUGGAUCGGUGAUAGGGCAUCCUGGAAAGGCACAAGCUUUAGGAGCCAAAAAACAGUCAGUACAGAUUGUACCUCCAUCGUUUCCUGGCUAUGCAGUCUUGGGGGCAAUCAUUAUAAUAGGCAACACAGCGGGUGCUACUCUUUACCUGGCGCUAUAUUGAAUAAAAUGAUGGAUGAAACUUAA